UGUAGCAAAAAAUCUAAACGGUCAACCCCCUACAAAAUUAUGAUGAGGAGAUUGCCAAAUGUUGUCCCCAUUGUGCCUAUAAAGAUUGGAACCAACGGAAUGUUGAGCAAAAAGCUACAGCCUGUGAUGUUACAGUCAUUUAACAUUGAAGUCAAUGGGCAAAUAAUUGCUAGUCUGAGUCCUGAUGAUAUAAAGAAGCAUGGCCGACUCGGGAUGUUGAUAUUUUUUCAACGGCUUAUUUCCUGAAGUUUUGAAUGGAAAGUGUCAGAAAUGGUGCCAGGGCAAUGUUUCAUAGAGUGGAAUGAUUGACCUCAACACAAGUAUUAAAAAAAAAAGAAGCAAAACAGGUCUACAUCUCAAAACCUGAUCUCUUCCUGGACUGGCUUUAGGAGAACGAUGAUGCAUAUCAAUUUCAUCCCUGAUCUCUAUGACACCUGUGGUGGAAGUGGAGGGCAAACUGUAAUCAGUUUGGGUUCCAGCCCCGAGGACCUCUGUAAACUUUGCUUUUUGGUGAUGACUUAAUUUCCGAGCUUGAAAAGGACGCUUGUGUGUUUAUCAUGGCCUCUCAUAUUGGAAGAUAACAUUAAUGGCUUGUGUGUUGAUCGACGGUUGUGCAUAUCUCUUGGUCAGGAAAGUUGUAGGCACCAUCGCCAUUGUAAAUCAUUUGACAGACCCGAGUGAACGGGGCGACCUAUGAUUGGUCAGCAAUGUAUCAGAUUCCAUACCGGGGGGUGGGGAUGAAAAAACUGUUGUAGUGUUACAUAAUCAGAUUAUUUCAACUUACUUAUCCUGUGGAAAUACAGCUAUAUAGGAGAUAUUUUGAAAUUCAUAGGCACUGCAUGUUUCAACAUUUUAGAUUUGACCACAAUUUGGCACUUGAAACUAUGUUAACAGAGAAAAACUGUGUGGUUUUCGAUGAAAGUGUUAAAAGUCUAAUAUUGCAUCAUGAUUACUGUUUUAAAGUAUUUUCGUGUUUGAUUUAUAUUGAAUUCAUCUCAUCUUUUUGAAGAAUGCAUUUAUGUUCAAAAAUAAAAAUGUUCUGUGGAAUUCAAAAUUCAUGUGUUUUUAAAUUAUCAGAUUCCAAACUAGGGGGUGGGGAUGAAAAAGCUGUUGUAGUGUUACAUAAUCAGAUUAUUUCAACUUACUUAUCCUAUGGAAAUACAGCUAUAUAGGAGAUAUUUUAAAAUUGAUAGGCACUGCAUGUUUCAACAUUUUAGAUUUCACCACAAUUUGGCACUUGAAACUACGUUAACAGAGAAAACUGUGUGGUUUUCGAUGAAAGUGUUAAAAAGUCUAAUAUUGCAUCAUGAUUACUGUUUUAAAGUAUUUUCGUGUUUGAUUUAUAUUGAAUUUAUCUCAUCUUUUUACAGAAUGCAUUUAUGUUCAAAAAUAAAAAUGUUCUGUUUAAUUCAAAAUUCAUGUGCUUUUAAAUUUCUGUCUGAAAUUCCGCAGUUUUCUGAUGUAUUAUAGUGUUUGCAGAAUGCCGCACAGCUCAUCUGAAAAUGCAUAGAUUUUCAUAUUCUUUGGCCAGGGAAUUGCAUAUAUGUUUGUUUAUUAGAUAACAACAGAUUUGUUUAAACUGCAGAAACAUGUGAGGUAUAUAGGACUAAGACUAGUAAUUAUUUCCCCUUAUUUCAUGAUGGACGAAUGUAGUGCGAGUUAUAAAUAGAGAAUUUUUCCCUUAAUUUUUUUCUCCCCUCUUCCUGCAUUUUUGGGUUGACUUUUUGGUCUAGAAUUGGAGAAAAGGGAUCAAAUUUGCAAUUUCAUAGCAGUUUUGGGUAAUACUGAUGAUAUUACAGCGGCGGGGUAGGGGGUGUAAAGUGUCUUUCUGCAGAGCAAUCAUUGUGUCGGAAGUGAGAUUUUCACCCCUCUCAACUUCAAAUCCGUGUAGCAAAAAAUCUAAACGGUCAACCCCCUACAAAAUUAUGAUGAGGAGAUUGCCAAAUGUUGUCCCCAUUGUGCCUAUAAAGAUUGGAACCAACGGAAUGUUGAGCAAAAAGCUACAGCCUGUGAUGUUACAGUCAUUUAACAUUGAAGUCAAUGGGCAAAUAAUUGCUAGUCUGAGU